UUGAAAAGAACUUUGAAGAGAGAGUUCAAGAGUACGUGAAACCGUUCAGGGGUAAACCUAAGAAACCCAAAAGAUCGAACGGGGAGAUUCAUCGUCAGCGACGUUGGCUUCGCGUCGGUGGGCGAUGUCCCGCGGAGCCUCGCGGCUCGCGCGCGGACACGCUGCCGUGCGUCGAUGUCCGGCGUUCGUCGUCGUGCACUUCUCCCCUAGUAGAACGUCGCGACCCGCUGGGUGUCGGUCUACGGCCCGGGUGCGGUGACUGACGCGUCGCCGGUAAAACGGCACGCGUCAAACCCCCGGUCGCCCGGCCGGCUGCCCGGCGGUACACGCAUGGUAUCAGGCCGCACAACCUCUCUCUUACGAGAGGGGGAGAGUGCGUCGAGGCCGUCGCAAGCGCGCGCCACGGUACACGGAGGCUAACGGACCUGGCGCCGUCACCGGUCCUGGCCCGCUGUUGGUCGUACGGUUAACCUUCGACAGGCCUACGAACGUUCCCCCGCGUACAUUUAUUGUGCACGGUGGGGACCGAUACCGGUCGGCGACGCUACUGCUUUGGGUACUCUUAGGACCCGUCUUGAAACACGGACCAAGGAGUCUAACAUGUACGCGAGUCAUUGGGACGAGCGAUACCUAAAGGCGAAAUGAAAGUGAAGGUCGGCCCUGGUUGUCGACCGAGGGAGGAUGAGGCGUGCCGCGACGCGUCUCCGCACUCCCGGGGCGUCUCGUUCUCAUCGCGAGAAGAGGCGCACCCAGAGCGUACACGUUGGGACCCGAAAGAUGGUGAACUAUGCCUGGUCAGGACGAAGUCAGGGGAAACCCUGAUGGAGGUCCGUAGCGAUUCUGACGUGCAAAUCGAUCGUCGGAACUGGGUAUAGGGGCGAAAGACUAAUCGAACCAUCUAGUAGCUGGUUCCCUCCGAAGUUUCCCUCAGGAUAGCUGGCACUCGGCCGUUCCGCAUGGAACGCGCGCGAGUCUCAUCUGGUAAAGCGAAUGAUUAGAGGCCUUGGGGCCGAAACGACCUCAACCUAUUCUCAAACUUUAAAUGGGUGAGAUCUCUGGCUUUCUUGAACUGUGAAGCCAAGAGCAUCUCGGAUCAGAGUGCCAAGUGGGCCAUUUUUGGUAAGCAGAACUGGCGCUGUGGGAUGAACCAAACGCAGAGUUAAGGCGCCCAACUCGACGCUCAUGGGACACCAUGAAAGGCGUUGGUUGCUUAAGACAGCAGGACGGUGGCCAUGGAAGUCGGAAUCCGCUAAGGAGUGUGUAACAACUCACCUGCCGAAGCAACUAGCCCUGAAAAUGGAUGGCGCUGAAGCGUCGAGCCUAUACUCUGCCGUCAGCGGCAAGUGGGGUGGCCGUGCGCGUUACCACGCGCGUACGCGCCGCCACGAAGCCCUGACGAGUAGGAGGGUCGCGGCGGUGUGCGCAGAAGGGUCU
rnacentral:rRNA from 1 species